rnacentral:lncRNA from 1 species
AGAUCUGCUCGCGGCAGCAAUCAGGGUAGAAUGUUCCAAGCAUCCACGGAAACGGAAUGGAAUAGUGCAAGGAAACAAGAUCUCUCACUCCGGAGAACAGGGCCUGCAUGUUCCCCGGAAUUCCAAGACUAGAAAAAUAUAAAAACGAAAUCAACGGGUCUCUCGGAAUUCCGGCCCGGCCCAUCACCAUCCAAUCACCGUCCACCUCCCUCGUGUCCCCUUCAAAUUAAAAUCCCC